GCGACCGUGGUGUAGUGGUUAGCAUCUGAGCUUCCCAAGCUCGUGACUCGGGUUCAAAUCCCGGCGGUCGCA
rnacentral:tRNA from 1 species